rnacentral:rRNA from 1 species
GGUUAAGUUAGAAAGGGCGCACGGUGGAUGCCUUGACACUAGGAGUCGAUGAAGGACGGGACUAACGCCGAUAUGCUUCGGGGAGCUGUAAGUAAGCUUUGAUCCGAAGAUUUCCGAAUGGGGAAACCCACCAUACGUAAUGGUAUGGUAUCCUUAUCUGAAUACAUAGGGUAAGGAAGACAGACCCAGGGAACUGAAACAUCUAAGUACCUGGAGGAAGAGAAAGCAAAUGCGAUUUCCUGAGUAGCGGCGAGCGAAACGGAACAUAGCCCAAACCAAGAGGCUUGCCUCUUGGGGUUGUAGGACAUUCUAUACGGAGUUACAAAGGAACGAGGUAGACGAAGCGACCUGGAAAGGUCCGUCGUAGAGGGUAACAACCCCGUAGUCGAAACUUCGUUCUCUCUUGAAUGUAUCCUGAGUACGGCGGAACACGUGAAAUUCCGUCGGAAUCUGGGAGGACCAUCUCCCAAGGCUAAAUACUCCCUAGUGAUCGAUAGUGAACCAGUACCGUGAGGGAAAGGUGAAAAGCACCCCGGAAGGGGAGUGAAAGAGAUCCUGAAACCGUGUGCCUACAAAUAGUCAGAGCCCGUUAACGGGUGAUGGCGUGCCUUUUGUAGAAUGAACCGGCGAGUUACGAUCCCGUGCGAGGUUAAGCUGAAGAGGCGGAGCCGCAGCGAAAGCGAGUCUGAAUAGGGCGUUUAGUACGUGGUCGUAGACCCGAAACCAGGUGAUCUACCCAUGUCCAGGGUGAAGUUCAGGUAACACUGAAUGGAGGCCCGAACCCACGCACGUUGAAAAGUGCGGGGAUGAGGUGUGGGUAGCGGAGAAAUUCCAAUCGAACCUGGAGAUAGCUGGUUCUCCCCGAAAUAGCUUUAGGGCUAGCCUUAAGUGUAAGAGUCUUGGAGGUAGAGCACUGAUUGGACUAGGGGUCCUCAUCGGAUUACCGAAUUCAGUCAAACUCCGAAUGCCAAUGACUUAUCCUUAGGAGUCAGACUGCGAGUGAUAAGAUCCGUAGUCAAAAGGGAAACAGCCCAGACCGCCAGCUAAGGUCCCAAAGUGUGUAUUAAGUGGAAAAGGAUGUGGAGUUGCUUAGACAACUAGGAUGUUGGCUUAGAAGCAGCCACCAUUUAAAGAGUGCGUAAUAGCUCACUAGUCGAGUGACUCUGCGCCGAAAAUGUACCGGGGCUAAAUACACCACCGAAGCUGCGGAUUGAUACCAAUGGUAUCAGUGGUAGGGGAGCGUUCUAAGGACAGUGAAGUCAGACCGUAAGGACUGGUGGAGUGCUUAGAAGUGAGAAUGCCGGUAUGAGUAGCGAAAGACGGGUGAGAAUCCCGUCCACCGAAUGCCUAAGGUUUCCUGAGGAAGGCUCGUCCGCUCAGGGUUAGUCAGGACCUAAGCCGAGGCCGACAGGCGUAGGCGAUGGACAACAGGUUGAUAUUCCUGUACCACCUCUUUAUCGUUUGAGCAAUGGAGGGACGCAGAAGGAUAGAAGAAGCGUGCGAUUGGUUGUGCACGUCCAAGCAGUUAGGCUGAUAAGUAGGCAAAUCCGCUUAUCGUGAAGGCUGAGCUGUGAUGGGGAAGCUCCUUAUGGAGCGAAGUCUUUGAUUCCCCGCUGCCAAGAAAAGCUUCUAGCGAGAUAAAAGGUGCCUGUACCGCAAACCGACACAGGUAGGCGAGGAGAGAAUCCUAAGGUGUGCGAGAGAACUCUGGUUAAGGAACUCGGCAAAAUGACCCCGUAACUUCGGGAGAAGGGGUGCUUUCUUAACGGAAAGCCGCAGUGAAUAGGCCCAAGCGACUGUUUAGCAAAAACACAGCUCUCUGCGAAGCCGUAAGGCGAAGUAUAGGGGUGACACCUGCCCGGUGCUGGAAGGUUAAGGAGAGGGGUUAGCGUAAGCGAAGCUCUGAACUGAAGCCCCAGUAAACGGCGGCCGUAACUAUAACGGUCCUAAGGUAGCGAAAUUCCUUGUCGGGUAAGUUCCGACCCGCACGAAAGGUGUAACGAUUUGGGCACUGUCUCAACCAGAGACUCGGUGAAAUUAUAGUACCUGUGAAGAUGCAGGUUACCCGCGACAGGACGGAAAGACCCCGUGGAGCUUUACUGUAGCCUGAUAUUGAAUUUUGGUACAGUUUGUACAGGAUAGGCGGGAGCCAUUGAAACCGGAGCGCUAGCUUCGGUGGAGGCGCUGGUGGGAUACCGCCCUGACUGUAUUGAAAUUCUAACCUACGGGUCUUAUCGACCCGGGAGACAGUGUCAGGUGGGCAGUUUGACUGGGGCGGUCGCCUCCUAAAGUGUAACGGAGGCGCCCAAAGGUUCCCUCAGAAUGGUUGGAAAUCAUUCGUAGAGUGCAAAGGCAUAAGGGAGCUUGACUGCGAGACCUACAAGUCGAGCAGGGACGAAAGUCGGGCUUAGUGAUCCGGUGGUUCCGCAUGGAAGGGCCAUCGCUCAACGGAUAAAAGCUACCCGGGGAUAACAGGCUUAUCUCCCCCAAGAGUCCACAUCGACGGGGAGGUUUGGCACCUCGAUGUCGGCUCAUCGCAUCCUGGGGCUGUAGUCGGUCCCAAGGGUUGGGCUGUUCGCCAUUAAAGCGGUACGCGAGCUGGGUUCAGAACGUCGUGAGACAGUUCGGUCCCUAUCCGUCGUGGGCGUAGGAAAUUUGAGAGGAGCUGUCCUUAGUACGAGAGGACCGGGAUGGACGCACCGCUGGUGUACCAGUUGUUCUGCCAAGGGCAUAGCUGGGUAGCUAUGUGCGGAAGGGAUAAGUGCUGAAAGCAUCUAAGCAUGAAGCCCCCCUCAAGAUGAGAUUUCCCAUAGCGUAAGCUAGUAAGAUCCCUGAAAGAUGAUCAGGUUGAUAGGUUCGAGGUGGAAGCAUGGUGACAUGUGGAGCUGACGAAUACUAAUAGAUCGAGGACUUAACCAU